rnacentral:lncRNA from 1 species
GUGAGUGGACAGUGAUGCAGAUAGAAAUUAUUGAGAAUUUAAUAUGUGCUCUAGGAAGUGCGUGCCCCUAGAGGGAGACAUGGCACUCACUUGUCAAGAGGGAGCCGCUGUGCUUCACCUGCUUCUUUCUCCAUCUGUCUAAAGGCGGGCCGUGUGAUGGCUUCUCAGGAGAGAGGGAGAAGCGGAGGAAGGAGGGAGGGAGAGAAAAGAAGAGACAGGCAGGGCAGAGGGUAACCUUUCAUUUGGUUGUUGCAAAAGAAGUGCCGUGGAAAAUAACAGUGCCUGGAAAAAAGCAGACCAGCUCCCAACAGAACAAAUGUUCUGCUUGAUUGCAUUGGAACGUGAGCGAGCCCCAAAUGGAAAAAGCUGCUUGCCUCCUUCCCGUUUGUUUAAUGGCUGGUGCGGUUUGGAUCUUCCCAGGUCUGGGAGGGAAAAAGAUUUGUUUUAGAAUUAAUAUUCUGAAACCCGAGGAGAAGAGUCGGAAAACCUGCAGUUCCCUCAAGGUACAGCCAAAACUAUUCCAUGGGCUCCCGGGUUCAAGAGAUCCUUCCAAGGCCCCAUUCAGCCUGGCUCCAGACACUGAAGGGAAAGGAGGAAGCCUUUGUAAAGACUUCUUGCCAGACGCACUAACAGCCUCAUGGCUAUUCCAAAGCAACCUCCAUUUCUAACGACUGAAGUGGGAAAAAAAUGUC